CUGCCCUGAUUUGGCGUGUCCCGCUAUCGGCAUAGUGAACAACAGCGAGGGGCUGGUAGCCAGGGCCUCGCCACGCAGGGACUGCCUGCCGCGUUACUUUGUGACGCCAGAGAGGCGUGGCCGGAGGGGAGAGUUUGUUUACUUCAACAAAAACCAGAAUUUUAUAAAAGGAAUCUGAGGGCAGAAGAGGUGAUUCAUUUCUCCAAGAGAUAAAAAGUUUGCCAAAGACAAAAGCACCAUGAGAAAUUUUGCGCUGUUUAAGGGAACUGUUUGCUAGAGUGCACUUAAUGUCUCCAAAGUUUUAACCAGAGGAAAGAGGCAACGCACAAAAGAAUCAGGUGCACAGGUCAUACCUGUUUGCAGAGGCAAAGGACAUCAAGACAUUUCACAAGGCAUGUUUUCAGUCACUCAGAGAAGAAAAACUCUGUUGGGAACCUGCUAUGAAGAAGAGUUAAAAAUGUACUGAAAUGAGCUGAAAGCCAAAUUAUUGUUUGUUCCAUGUUGGCUACAUAACAGAUGUAUUUGCUCUACAGUCUGCAGAGAAUUUGCUUGCCAUGUCAGUGUACUUGUUAUUACAGGAGGGUAUUUUAUGGCAUGGAACUGGUCUUUGAUCAUCAUGCAGAGGUCUUCAGGACACCUAAUAGCAGCCUUCCAACACAUAGGAGGAGAUCAUCAAGAAAGAUGAAGCUGAGCUGUUUGGCAGUACGUGAUGGGAAGAUGGCAGUGGGCGGAAGUGAAAAUGAGAGGUUCUUACUGGAUAUGACAAGAAACCUCUUCACCAUGAGGACAGUCGAGCAGUGGAGCAGGUUGCCUGGGGAGGUUGUAGUCUCCCUUGUCGGAGGCUUUCAAGAGCUGACUUUUUGCAGCUACACUGCUAUUUUGGUAGCAUACCAUUACCAGUAUGCUUACCCUGGUAAAGUAAUUCCAUUGUAGAUGUUGCGUAAAUUGCUCCUUCCCUUACCUGGUUUCAUCAGUUGUUUGUUUUCAGUUUGUUUGUUAUACUAUGUAUCAGUUCAACUUCAUCAUGUUUGGGCAUAGUCUCCACUGUGUGGACUCUGAUUGCUGGUCAUUUAGCAGGUAUGUAUGUUUCACCUUGUUUUCUACAGCAACAACUUACACUUGCUAAUCUUUCAGGAAUUAGUUUAGUUUUACUUCUAUAUACUUUUAAAUAGUAUAUUCAGUAUUUGUGAUAUUUCUAGCAUUUUAUAAGGUUUUUAAAAAAUAUUUUCCAGUGUAUGAGCAUUUAUACUAUGAUUGUUAUUACAUUCACCAUCAUCUUUGCUCAGGUACAGUUUUACACUGAUCCCCUUUGAAGCCCUAGCUGUUGAAGAUAAAAUUAGACAGGUUUUAUUCCAUUUGUUGGGUUUUAGUUUUACUGACUUUUGGUAUCAUUCAAACAAAUAACGUGCUACACCGGUGCAUUGAAAGUAUGAGCACUUAAUUUAAACACACCUGACGUCCAUGGGUAGACUUAAAUAAAUCUAAAGCAUUAAUUUUUGUUGUUACUAGCUAUUUUCUCCUUCACAACAGGCACUCUGUAGAUAUAUCUAUACUGGUUUAUGAGGGCCUCCAUGUGACUGCUGUUAGAAUCGGACUGUUUAUGGACAUAAAGCAGGUCUGCAAGCGCGGUCUUGGUAUACCUCCUUGUAUGAGAGAGAGCAGGUCUGAUUGGUACUAAUGACUAAUCAAGUAGUUAUGAAAUAUAAGCAGUUACAAGUUAGGCACGGCAUUGCUAAGCAACUUCAAAACUCGUUUCAGUUCUACUUUUCCCAUUCCAAUUUUCCAAUUUUCAAAAAAAAAGUUCUUACAUGUACUUAGAACAUUCCCUUAAAAUUUGGAGAUUUCUCAGCUGGCUCACUGCAAAACUGUCACAUUAUCUCUAAAUAAACAUCCUUAAACUAAGC